AGGAGAAGAAGGCUUGGGUGGGUUGGCUGCCAGAUGGAGACGCAACUGCUCCGCGGCGGGCGAACCUUCAGAUGCGGCGUAAAGCGGCGCAGGGCACCCAGUGCCGUGUGAGGUAACCCAGAAGCACUAAAAGGUGCAAAAUCACACCCGGAAGGUUUUAUAGAAGAAUCUCAGGCUUAGACCUGUUACAACUGGAUUUGGAUCCUUGCUCUGGAAGAUGCAAGCUGCCACCGUGUAAGCUCCCCACUGAGAGGCCCAUCUGGCAAGGAAGUAAAGAAGGCCUCCAGCCAACAGUCGGUGAAGAACUGAGGCCCUCAGUCUGAUCUCUAAGCACUGAUUCUUAACAACAGCCAUACAAGCAUCUACAUGCUGAAACUCCGGCAGCUGUCAGGGGCCCUGAGGUGGCCUUGGGAAUGGAAGCCCUUUUUACAGCAUGUCAGCAAGACAGAAGCCUGGGCUGGAAAACUUUGUGCUCCCUGAAUAGAAGAAAUAAAUAUGUCUCUUAUU